UUUUCAUUGCGGGUGGAUACAUUGUGUGAGUGCUGUGACUGAUCCAGUUAAUGACGCAAGCCUGGCUGGCGACAGCGAGUCUAGAAGUUUGACAGUUUCACAGUUUACAACAACUGUUGUGGAACGGAACAAUACUUCCGAUAUUAUUAAGAGCAUCCAUAUCGAGGGAUUUUCUCAAAUCAUAUUUAUCGGGACUCAGACGGAUUGUCCAGACCAGAGCAUAGUGGAAACAACGAGGUCGGGAGACCUGUCAGCGAAUCCUGAUUCAAGUUAAGUCCCCUUGGAACUUGGGCUUCUAGUUUGCAAAAUGUUGUAUUUCCAGAAGCUUCUCUUUGAUGUGUGGCGCCGGAUGUGGGAUACGUUUUCUGAUAUUCCAAAGAGAACCCAGCGGUACAUCAUUAUCGGGUGAGAAGCUUCAGGACUGUAUCAGCCGGGCCACGAUGAGACAUCGAGAGAUCUGCAAACUCAUCGACAAAUUCCUACAGAGCGUCAAGACACCGGAAUAAACACACUUUUUUAUUUUCUUUAAAAGUUAUAUUUUCCUGUCAAUAUAUACAUAGUUUCUUCUUUAUUACACAAUAAAACUGCUGACAAAGACCAUUUAAUUUCUGUCCCAGAAAUGUCACAUGAUUUCUAAUAUGAAUAUACUCUUCUUAAUCCCGCCCCCUUCCACCCCCACAAGGAAAUGCCUUAUUAUAAAAAAAUUGCACUCCGCAUUGCAUGCUGGGAAAAUCUUAUUAGAUCAUCGGUUAGAUCAUCGGUGUCUGAAAAUACCACCGUAAUUCCAUACAUAGUGCCCUUGUCAAAAGUAAGGGGAUAGGAUGGCAUUUUAGAUACACACAGAACCAGGAGCUGUUGUCCAUCCAGGAGCAGUCCCUGUGUCUAUCCAGUCCCUGUGUCUAUCCAGUCCCUGUGUCUAUCCAGUCUCUGUGUCUAUCCAGUCCCUGUGUCCAUCCAGUCCCUGUGUCCAUCCAGGAGCAGUCCCUGUGUCUAUCCAGGAGCAGUCCCUGUGUCCAUCCAGUCCCUGUGUCUAUCCAGGAGCAGUCCCUGUGUCUAUCCAGUCCC
rnacentral:lncRNA from 1 species